ACGCUCGGUGAUUUGCAUCAGGGGUUCGACCUCCACCCACUUGAUGAAGUAGUCGAUUGCGAUGACUAUGAACUUUCUUUGUCCAGACGCCGGAGGGAAAGGGCCAAGUAUGUCGAUUCCCUAUUGGGCGAAGGGCCACGGGACGAUAAUGAAAGUCAGCCGAUUGGCGGGUUGGUGUUGUAUGUUGGCGUACUUUUAACACGGCUCACACCUCUGAACCAAAUCAGCCGCA
rnacentral:lncRNA from 1 species